GACGAACGCUGGCGGCGUGCCUAAUACAUGCAAGUCGAGCGCAGGAAGCUGACGGAACUCUUCGGAGGGAAGGCAGUGGAAUGAGCGGCGGACGGGUGAGUAACACGUAAGGAACCUGCCUCAAGGAUUGGGAUAACUCCGAGAAAUCGGAGCUAAUACCGGAUAGUUCAACGGACCGCAUGGUCCGCUGAUGAAAGGCGCUUCGGCGUCACCUUGAGAUGGCCUUGCGGUGCAUUAGCUAGUUGGGGGGGUAACGGCCCACCAAGGCGACGAUGCAUAGCAGACCUGAGAGGGUGAUCGGCCACACUGGGACUGAGACACGGCCCAGACUCCUACGGGAGGCAGCAGUAGGGAAUCUUCCACAAUGGACGAAAGUCUGAUGGAGCAACGCCGCGUGAGUGAUGAAGGUUUUCGGAUCGUAAAACUCUGUUGUAAGUGAAGAGCACGUACGAGAGGGAAUGCUCGUACCUUGACGGUACCUUACGAGAAAGCCACGGCUAACUACGUGCCAGCAGCCGCCGUAAUAC
rnacentral:rRNA from 1 species